GUAAUUGUGUGCAUGUCGAGGAACCACUAGUAGUAAUCUCUUUAGAUAACAUUUAUGUUUACGCACACGGUAUUCUUACAAUAUUCAAUUAGAAUAGUUUUUUUUUUCUGUUUUCAACAUAAAUAAACAAUUAGUUUUUUUCUCAGUUAGUGUCUCACAAGUCGCACAACUCAGAUGUUGACACUUUCUUUGGGCUUAGCGUCUGCUCUGGCAAUUCUCUCCCUUCCCUUCACUAAGCAGCCAAGGCCAAGAGCAAGCAGGAGUGCCGCUUAUCUUAUUGAGCCUGUUACGUUUUGGAUUAUCAUGUUGAGAAUUUUCAACAAAUCUAGAGUUUCUCUUCUUCUAUACCAAAACUCAUCGAAUCUCUGAACUGAUCCGUCGGAUUUGUGUAAAAACAGAGAUAGAUAACAUGUAAGAUACCAGAUAUUAAUCACCAUCGGCCUAGACACAACGACUCUCUCAGACCGGUUAUG